UUUACUCAGCCCGUCAGCCCACACUCACCUCUACCUCCACGGCUCCACCUCCACUUCCACUUCCAUUUUCACCUCCACCUCCACCUCUACCACACUCUCGAUCUCUUCGACAAUUGAAGACCAGUGAAGUACCGUGGCUCUUUGGCAUUGAAGACCAAGUAAUUCUCCAAGUCUCUGCAGCAAAGUUGCAGGGGAAGGGGUUGGUUGCUGCCAAUCCUAUUGCUAUGUUGUUAUGCCAAGAUUGGCUAAUGGUUCGUUGACGAGUUAAAGAAAUUAGUAGAUGUUCUGUCUCUUAUCCUUGAAGCAAGCUACUUCCAAAAGGGUGGUUCUACUAGCAGUGACGAUUGUAGUUCAUUGGAGACUUGGCCUUCAAAGAAAGCUGCAGGUCACAUAAUUGAGUUUAUUACUUAUUAUGUUGCCUGUGAAAGAGCAAAGGUCUCUAGAGAUAUUUUAAGUCAAAAUUUGGAGUAUUUGACAUCAGAAAUUAGCUUUUCACCUAGUGUCUCUAGGCAGAAUAUUGAGAUCCACAAAAGAAGAGAGAAGCAAUUGCUUACACUUUUAGAGGUUGUACCUGACACAGAUUGGGAUGCUCCUUACCUGUUGCAUUUGUGUGAAAGAUGUCAGUUUCACCAGGUCUGCGGCUUAAUUCAUUCAAACAGAUGUCAGUACAUUGCUGCAUUGGAUAGUUAUAUAAAAGCUGUAGAUGAAUCCAUUCAUGCCUUUUCUUUUAUCCAUGAUAUGUUGCAGCGACUAAGCGAGACUGAUUCAGAAGCUUUCCAAGCAGCAGUCUUUUCAAGGAUUGGUGAUCUGGUCAAAUUAGACAGGUUUGAAGCAAUACUGAAUUCUUGAAGCUAGGAGGGAGUGUUAAAGAUAGAGUGGCAACGAAGAUUAUCGAAGAGUACCACUCCAUGUAUUCAUCCUCUAGUGGUUUGGAGAAAUGGGUUGUAAAGAUUGAGCAACCCAUAGACAUCUUUCUCACGAUACCCAUUGUAUCGGUUUCUCUUAUAUAAAUGAGAUAAAUGCUAUUUAAACAAAAUUUUGGGAGCUGUCUAUAGCAAUGACUGAAGGACGUUGAAGACAAAGUCGCAAUUUCUCAUGCAAGGGUUCGCUUGGAUGUUCUUUGGUUUCUUGAACUCAAUUCCUUUUGUAAACGUACCUUAUGAAUAUGUGAUAUUUAGGCACAAUGUUACUUUUAUAGACCUUUGUUGGGUAAUGUGCACCUCAAUAUGACAUUUCAGUACUGAAUAUGCUAUAUUGGCAUGUAGCCUAAUGCAACAACUACUUUUGAUUA